CUCAUUCCUUAGGCUCAGGUGGUCCCAGCACAGCUGUGGUCAGUACAAGAGGAGCCAAUAUCACCAUACCAGGGACAACAACACAAGAACCAGGGAGGCGACCGCUGACGUUCUGGGCCAUCAUUAUCAUCUGCUUAACUGUGUCUGGACUCUUCAUAGGAGGAUAUGUUGGGUGCUGUUUCCUCUGGAAAAAGAAUAUUCUCUAAGUCAAGGCUUAGUCUUUCCCUGAAAUCUUGUUCCCUAUUUUGAACACGGAGACAAAAAUAUUGAAAAAUGAAGGAAACUCUUCUGGCGGAGGGGAGCUGAACCCAGAUUUGCGAUUCACCAAGUUUGUUGAACUGUGUGACAAGGACGAUUGUUGGAUCUUCAACCCAAAUGUUUUCAUGAUCAAAUGUUAAAUCCUGGAAUAAAAAAAUUCUUA